rnacentral:rRNA from 1 species
GACGUAGGGCGCGAGCGUUGUCCGGAUUUAUUGGGCGUAAAGAGCUCGUAGGCGGCUUGUCGCGUCGGCUGUGAAAAUCCCCGUGGCUCAACUGUGGGCGGGCAGCUGAUACGGGCAGGCUGGAGUUCGGUAGGGGAGGACUGGAAAUUCCGUGGUGUAGCGGUGAAAUGCGCAGAUAAUCAGGAGGAACACCGGUGGCGAAGGCGGGUCUCUGGGCCGAUACUGACGCUGAGGAGCGGAAAGCGUGGGGAGCGAACAGG